GAUGAACGCUUGCUACAGGCUUAACACAUGCAAGUCGAGGGGCAGCAUGGUCUUAGCUUGCUAAGGCCGAUGGCGACCGGCGCACGGGUGAGUAACACGUAUCCAACCUGCCGUCUACUCUUGGACAGCCUUCUGAAAGGAAGAUUAAUACAAGAUGGCAUCAUGAGUCCGCAUGUUCACAUGAUUAAAGGUAUUCCGGUAGACGAUGGGGAUGCGUUCCAUUAGAUAGUAGGCGGGGUAACGGCCCACCUAGUCUUCGAUGGAUAGGGGUUCUGAGAGGAAGGUCCCCCACAUUGGAACUGAGACACGGUCCAAACUCCUACGGGAGGCAGCAGUGAGGAAUAUUGGUCAAUGGGCGAGAGCCUGAACCAGCCAAGUAGCGUGAAGGAUGACUGCCCUAUGGGUUGUAAACUUCUUUUAUAAAGGAAUAAAGUCGGGUAUGCAUACCCGUUUGCAUGUACUUUAUGAAUAAGGAUCGGCUAACUCCGUGCCAGCAGCCGCGGUAAUACGGAGGAUCCGAGCGUUAUCCGGAUUUAUUGGGUUUAAAGGGAGCGUAGAUGGAUGUUUAAGUCAGUUGUGAAAGUUUGCGGCUCAACCGUAAAAUUGCAGUUGAUACUGGAUAUCUUGAGUGCAGUUGAGGCAGGCGGAAUUCGUGGUGUAGCGGUGAAAUGCUUAGAUAUCACGAAGAACUCCGAUUGCGAAGGCAGCCUGCUAAGCUGCAACUGACAUUGAGGCUCGAAAGUGUGGGUAUCAAACAGGAUUAGAUACCCUGGUAGUCCACACGGUAAACGAUGAAUACUCGCUGUUUGCGAUAUACAGCAAGCGGCCAAGCGAAAGCGUUAAGUAUUCCACCUGGGGAGUACGCCGGCAACGGUGAAACUCAAAGGAAUUGACGGGGGCCCGCACAAGCGGAGGAACAUGUGGUUUAAUUCGAUGAUACGCGAGGAACCUUACCCGGGCUUAAAUUGCAGAUGAAUUACGGUGAAAGCCGUAAGCCGCAAGGCAUCUGUGAAGGUGCUGCAUGGUUGUCGUCAGCUCGUGCCGUGAGGUGUCGGCUUAAGUGCCAUAACGAGCGCAACCCUUGUUGUCAGUUACUAACAGGUUCCGCUGAGGACUCUGACAAGACUGCCAUCGUAAGAUGUGAGGAAGGUGGGGAUGACGUCAAAUCAGCACGGCCCUUACGUCCGGGGCUACACACGUGUUACAAUGGGGGGGUACAGAGGGCCGCUACCACGCGAGUGGAUGCCAAUCCCAAAAACCUCUCUCAGUUCGGACUGGAGUCUGCAACCCGACUCCACGAAGCUGGAUUCGCUAGUAACCGCGCAUCAGCCACGGCGCGGUGAAUACGUUCCCGGGCCUUGUACACACCGCCCGUCAAGCCAUGGGAGCCGGGGGUACCUGAAGUGCGUAACCGCGAGGAGCGCCCUAGGGUAAAACUGGUGACUGGGGCUAAGUCAUAA
rnacentral:rRNA from 1 species